AGUGAACGCUGGCGGUAGGCCUAACACAUGCAAGUCGAACGGCAGCACAGUAAGCUCUUGCUCUUACGGGUGGCGAGUGGCGGACGGGUGAGGAAUACAUCGGAAUCUACUUUUUCGUGGGGGAUAACGUAGGGAAACUUACGCUAAUACCGCAUACGACCUACGGGUGAAAUCAGGGGAUCUUCGGACCUUGCGCGAUUGAAUUAGCCGAUGUCGGAUUAGCUAGUUGGCGGGGUAAAGGCCCACCAAGGCGACGAUCCGUAGCUGGUCUGAGAGGAUGAUCAGCCACACUGGAACUGAGACACGGUCCAGACUCCUACGGGAGGCAGCAGUGGGGAAUAUUGGACAAUGGGCGCAAGCCUGAUCCAGCCAUGCCGCGUGGGUGAAGAAGGCCUUCGGGUUGUAAAGCCCUUUUGUUGGGAAAGAAAAGCAGCAGGUUAAUACCCCGCUGUUCUGACGGUACCCAAAGAAUAAGCACCGGCUAACUUCGUG
rnacentral:rRNA from 1 species